UGCAACCUAGUCUUGUACAGCUUUUGGCGGAGAAGAAGGGUGUCCUUGGGGGUUCCGAGGGAAUGAAGAAGGCGUUGGAAGGAGGCAAGGGCCGUGUUGAUCUGAAACACGCCGGCGGCGACGCCCUGCGAAGGCUCUUGUCUCUGUUUCUCUU